CAGCCUGGUCUGCAGAGCGAGUUUCAGGACAUCUAGGGCCACACCGUGACACCCUGUCUCAAAAAAAAAAAAAAAAAAAAAAAAAAAAAAGAAAGAAAGAAAGAAAGAAAGAAAAGAAAAGAAAAGAAAAAGAAUGCAGGAGCUAGCCUGUGGAACCAUGGCUCAGAGGAAGAGUCAUGGAGGCAAACAAACAAAAAUCCAGACCUUUGCUGCUUGUUUAUGUGACUUAUGUAUUUGUAUAUAUGUGUGAGCAUAUCUCAUAUGUGUGCAGGUGCCUGUGGAGGCCAGAAAAGGCUGCCAGAUGCCCUGGAACUGAAGUUACAUACAGGUGGUUGUGACCCCUGACCUGGAUGCUAGGGACCUAACUCCGGUCUUCUGGAAGAGCAGCCAGCACAGAGCCAUCUCUCCAGCCUAAAGCAUUUCUUGGAAAGAGAGAAGGAGACCAUUCCUGAUGGGCACAGUGAGGCCCAGGAUAAGGGAGGGGAUGGGUGAAGCCUCAUUCUGUCUUCCCUCUCCUGCAUUUGCUGUAAAAGGGAAGCUCACGCUGGCCCUGCCCCUGAGAUGUCUACCUUCAGCUGUAAAGUCACCUAACAACCAAAUAUUCAUUGAUGGAGCAAAUAUAGAUGGAGCAAUUCCAACGUUCUACCUACCACACUUGUAGGAGCCCUUGGGAAGGUAUCAGGGACUAUAAAUGACAUUACCUUGUGAUGGUGCUUGCUUCUGUCUGACAAGGCCUGUGAGAGCAGGGUGGGUGACUUUCUGAGUACAUAUUCCUCUUAGGGUUUGGCAGGUUACUGACUGCACAUAAUUAUAAACAAUAAAAAGUGGGUUGGGGCCAGGAGGUAUGGCUCAGCAGGCUACUCUUUACUCUUGCAGAGGACCUGGGUUCAGUUCCCAGCACCCAUAUGGAGGGAGACUCACAACCAUUCAUAACUUCAUUGACCUCUUCUGACCUAUGCAAGUACCAGGCACGCAUGUGGUACACAUUUAUACACGCAGGCAAACAGUGCCUCACAUAAAAUAAAAUAAAGAGUAUUUUUUUGAAAAAUGAGCCAGAAAUCACAUCUGACUGUGAGUUCAAGAGAUUCCAGAAUUUGGCACGGAGGUAUUGUCACAGUAGCAGCACUACAUCAGGGUCACUGAUGCUCGGGGAGGUCACUGAUGCUCGGGGAGGUCACAGCCUUUAUGCUCUGUGCAGAACAAGGGCUGAAGGUACUGG
rnacentral:lncRNA from 1 species